UACGGAGGGUGCAAGCGUUAUCCGGAUUCACUGGGGUAGGCGGACUUGUAAGUCCGUGGUGAAAUCUCCGAGCUUAACUCGGAAACUGCCAUGGAUACUAUAGGUCUUGAAUGUUGUGGAGGUUAGCGGAAUAGUUCAUGUAGCGGUGAAAUGCUUAGAUAUGACCUAGAACACCGAUUGCGAAGGCAGCUGGCUACACAACGAUUGACGCUGAGGCACGAAAGCGUGGGGAUCAAACAGG
rnacentral:rRNA from 1 species